UGUAAUUUUAUUUGUACAACUAGAAAAAUCUGGAAAGAUUUGCCACAGAGGGUGACAGGCCCGUACGCGAAAACCGAGUUGCUCCGUUGAGUGGGUACCCUGAGUAGGUCGAGCCACGUGGAAUCUCGACUGAAUCGACGGGGACCAUCCCGUAAGGCUAAAUACUCCCUGAUGACCGAUAGUGAACUAGUAGCGCGAGCGAAAGUUGAGAAGAACCCCUGCUAGGGGAGGAAUGUGAACCUGAAACCAUGUGCCUACAAGCGGUCGGAGCGCUAUGGCGGGUAACCGCAAUGCGUGACGGCGUGCCUUUUGCAUAAUGAUCCGGCGAGUUACCGUCAGCGGCUCGGUUAAGGACCUCAGGUCCGUAGCCACAGGGAAACCGAGUCUGAACAGGGCGACUAGUGGUCGCUGGUGGUAGACGCGAAACUGCACGAACUACCCAUGAGCAGGUUGAACCGCGGGUCAAACCGCGUGGAGGACCGAACCCGCUUGGGUUGAAAACCGAGGGGAUGACUUGUGGGGAGGAGUGAAAGUCUAAUCAAGCGCAGAGAUAGCUCGUUCUCUCCGAAAUAGCUUUAGGGCUAGCCUCGGAACAUUGCACGGCGGGGUAGAGAGACUGAAUCGGAGGAGGGCCAUACCCUGGUACCUCCCUGAACCAAACUCCGAAUACCGUUCGAGUGUACUCCGGGAGUCAGUCCGCGAGGGAUAAGCUUCGCGGUCAAAAGGGAAACAACCCAGACCAACUGCUAAGGUCCCCAAGCAGAACUCAGUCACUAAGGAAGUGGAGUUGCUAAGACAGCCAGGAUGUUGGCUUAGAAGCAGCCAUCAUUUAAAAAGUGCGUAACAGCUUACUGGUCGAGCAAUUCCGCGCCGAUAAUGAACGGGAGUGAGUUCUGCACCGAAGCAGUGGAAUCCACGCAAGUGGAUUGGUAGGAGAGCGCUGUACGUCAGAUACAAGUCGCACCGUAAGGAGCGAUGCCGGGGCGUACAGGUGAUUAUGCCGGAAUGAGUAACGAUUAAGCAGGUGAGAAUCCUGCUCGCCGAAAGCCUAAGGUUUCCUGGGGAAGGUAAAUCCGCCCAGGGUUAGCCGGUACCUUAGUCGAGGCCGAAAGGCGUAGACGAUGGACAGCAGGUCAACAUUCCUGCGCCACAUGCUGGACCGAUGGAGGGACGGCGUCUGGAAGGUGAGGGGACGGAUAGAAAUGUCCCUCGCCGGUGUGGAAGGUAGCUGUAGGAAAAUCCGCAGCGACAUCCGGAAGCAUCGGACAAAGACGCUUAUGUUUCGAUAGUCAUCCGAAGGACGUCCAAAAAGCUUCUAGGGUUGAAGGCAUGUGACCGUACUAAAACUGACACAGGUAGGCGGGACGAGAAGUCCUAGGCGCUCGGGAGAACACUGGUUAAGGAACUCUGCAAAAUGGCCCCGUAAGUUCGCGAUAAGGGGUGCCCCCCGUGGUUCACGCUGUGGGGGGUCACAGUAAAUCGGCAUCAGCAACUGUUUAUCAAAAACACAGGACUCUGCGAACUCGCAAGAGGAUGUAUAGAGUCUGACGCCUGCCCGGUGUUGGUAGGUUAAGGAAGAGGGUUAGCCGCAAGGUGAAGCCCGCGACCGAAGCCCCAAUAAACGGCGGCCGUAACUAUGACGGUCCUAAGGUAGCGAAGUUCCUUGUCGGGUAAGUUCCGACCUGCAUGAAUGGCGUAAUGACUGAUGCACUGUCUCAACCAGUGACCCGGUGAAAUUGUAGCCGUGGUGAAGAUGCCACGUACCCGCAGUGUGACGGAAAGACCCCGUGAACCUUUACUGUAGGCUGAUAUUGGUCUCGGACGUGUUCUGUGUAGGAU
rnacentral:rRNA from 1 species